AUGACGGCUACAAAAACCAAAGCGUCGGCGGCUUCAAAAGCGAGAAAUGGCUUGUGUGCCGAAGAUUGCCGUGGUUCUUUUGGCCAUUAUUGCAGCAGAAGAACGGUGCGAUGCAAGUGGCGAAGACGGCCAGGUUCAGCGAGAGAAUCCCUGGAAAACGUUUUGGAAAGAACAUAAUCUUUUAUGGACGUCCAGAACAUCUAAUUUUCUCUGCUCGAGUUGUAAACGGCAAGAACUGCAAUGCGCUAAUGACUCUGGCGUCAUGCUCAACCACUUAGAGCUCUGGGAAGG